rnacentral:rRNA from 1 species
GACGAACGCUGGCGGCGUGGAUUAGGCAUGCAAGUCGAACGGUAUCAUCCUUUCGGGGGUGAGAGAGUGGCGAACUGGUGAGUAACACGUAGGUUAUCUACCCUCAAGACGGGGACAACCCAGGGAAACUUGGGCUAAUACCGGAUGUGAGCAACUUUUAGUUGUUUGAAAGGUGGCGUAAGCUGUCGCUUGGGGAUGAGCCUGCGUCCUAUUAGUUAGUUGGUGAGGUAACGGCUCACCUAGGCAAUGAUAGGUAGGCGGCCUUAACGGGUGGUCGCCCACACUGGGAUUGAGAUACGGCCCAGACUCCUACGGGAGGCAGCAGUCGAGAAUAGUCUACAAUGGUCGGAAGACUGAUAGUGCGACGCCGCGUGAACGAUGAAUCCCUUCGGGGGUGUAAAAGUUCUUUUAUAUGUGAGCAGUGCUUCUUAUAUUAACAGUAUGGGGAGAGAGAUAUUAGCAUAUGAAUAAGCAAACGGCUAAACUCCGUGCCAGCAGCCGCGGUAAUA